AUGAUAUCCCAAACAGAGGAAAUACUAGUUAAUCCAUGUGCAAUGAUUCACCGCCCUUCUUGCUUGGAGUUGAGCCUAUCUAUAUGCUUGGUACGGGAAAAGCACUUCUUCCGGAUCUUGUGGGUACCUGCACUGCACACAUUUUGGCGAAAGAUUAAUAUCAGUAAGCUGCACGCACAGAAGAGCUAUGAGAAUUUCUCUCAACAUGCAAACAUGCAUGAGAAUUUCCAUUCCACUAUGCUAUUUAUAUUUCAAAAAUGGGCAGGGAAAUAUUUUACAACUGUACAAUACCUGCUAAACACAAUAAACCAUGCGAAUUUUAAGUCUUAG
rnacentral:rRNA from 1 species